UACGGGGGGGGCAAGCGUUGUUCGGAAUUACUGGGCGUAAAGGGCGCGUAGGCGGUCUGCUAAGUUUGAUGUGAAAACUCUGGGCUUAACCCAGAGCCUGCAUUCAAUACUGACAGGCUAGAGUUCUGGAGGGGAUAGCGGAAUUCCUGGUGUAGCGGUGAAAUGCGUAGAUAUCAGGAGGAACACCGGUGGCGAAGGCGGCUAUCUGGACAGAGUCUGACGCUGAGGCGCGAAAGCUAGGGGAGCAAACAGG
rnacentral:rRNA from 1 species